UGGGGAAUAUUGCACAAUGGGCGCAAGCCUGAUGCAGCCAUGCCGCGUGUAUGAAGAAGGCCUUCGGGUUGUAAAGCACUUUCAGCGGGGAGGAAGGCGAUAAGGUUAAUAACCUUGUCGAUUGACGUUACCCGCAGAAGAAGCACCGGCUAACUCCGUGCCAGCAGCCGCGGUAAUACGGAGGGUGCAAGCGUUAAUCGGAAUUACUGGGCGUAAAGCGCACGCAGGCGGUCUGUCAAGUCGGAUGUGAAAUCCCCGGGCUCAACCUGGGAACUGCAUUCGAAACUGGCAGGCUAGAGUCUUGUAGAGGGGGGUAGAAUUCCAGGUGUAGCGAUGAAAUGCGUAGAGAUCUGGAGGAAUACCGGUGGCGAAGGCGGCCCCCUGGACAAAGACUGACGCUCAGGUGCGAAAGCGUGGGGAGCAAACAGG
rnacentral:rRNA from 1 species